AUUGAACGCUGGCGGCAGGCUUAACACAUGCAAGUCUAGCGGAGAUGAGGUGCUUGCACCUUAUCUUAGCGGCGGACGGGUGAGUAAUGCUUAGGAAUCUGCCUAUUAGUGGGGGACAACAUUCCGAAAGGAAUGCUAAUACCGCAUACGUCCUACGGGAGAAAGCAGGGGAUCUUCGGACCUUGCGCUAAUAGAUGAGCCUAAGUCGGAUUAGCUAGUUGGUGGGGUAAAGGCCUACCAAGGCGACGAUCUGUAGCGGGUCUGAGAGGAUGAUCCGCCACACUGGGACUGAGACACGGCCCAGACUCCUACGGGAGGCAGCAGGGGGGAAUAUUGGACAAUGGGGGGAACCCUGAUCCAGCCAUGCCGCGUGGGUGAAGAAGGCCUUAUGGUUGUAAAGCACUUUAAGCGAGGAGGAGGCUACUGAGACUAAUACUCUUGGAUAGUGGACGUUACUCGCAGAAUAAGCACCGGCUAACUCUGUGCCAGCCGCCGCGGUAACAC
rnacentral:rRNA from 1 species